rnacentral:rRNA from 1 species
CAUGCCGCGUGAGUGAUGAAGGCCCUAGGGUCGUAAAGCUCUUUCGCCUGUGAUGAUAAUGACAGUAGCAGGUAAAGAAACCCCGGCUAACUCCGUGCCAGCAGCCGCGGUAAUACGGAGGGGGUUAGCGUUGUUCGGAAUUACUGGGCGUAAAGCGCGCGUAGGCGGAUUAGAAAGUUGGGGGUGAAAUCCCGGGGCUCAACCCCGGAACUGCCUUUGAUACUGGUAGUCUUGAGUUCGAGAGAGGUGAGUGGAAUUCCGAGUGUAGAGGUGAAAUUCGUAGAUAUUCGGAGGAACACCAGUGGCGAAGGCGGCUCACUGGCUCGAUACUGACGCUGAGGUGCGAAAGUGUGGGGAGCAAACAGGAUUAGAUACCCUGGUAGUCCACACCGUAAACGAUGAAUGCCGGUCGUCGGGUAGCAUGCUAUUCGGUGACACACCUAACGGAUUAAGCAUUCCGCCUGGGGAGUACGGUCGCAAGAUUAAAACUCAAAGGAAUUGACGGGG